AUUGAACGCUGGCGGCAGGCUUAACACAUGCAAGUCGAGCGGAGAUGAGGUGCUUGCACCUUAUCUUAGCGGCGGACGGGUGAGUAUGCUUAGGAAUCUGCCUAUUAGUGGGGGACAACAUUCCGAAAGGAAUGCUAAUACCGCAUACGCCCUACGGGGGAAAGCAGGGGAUCUUCGGACCUUGCGCUAAUAGAUGAGCCUAAGUCGGAUUAGCUAGUUGGUGGGGUAAAGGCCUACCAAGGCGACGAUCUGUAGCGGGUCUGAGAGGAUGGUCCGCCACACUGGGACUGAGACACGGCCCAGACUCCUACGGGAGGCAGCAGUGGGGAAUAUUGGACAAUGGGCGGAAGCCUGAUCCAGCCAUGCCGCGUGUGUGAAGAAGGCCUUUUGGUUGUAAAGCACUUUAAGCGAGGAGGAGGCUACCUGGAUUAAUACUCUAGGAUAGUGGACGUUACUCGCAGAAUAAGCACCGGCUAACUCUGUGCCAGCCGCCGCAGUAACAC
rnacentral:rRNA from 1 species